AAGGAACUUCAGAUAAGGCCCAACCCAAAGCCAUCGUUCAGAAAAAAAAAAAAAACCCCUAACUCAUAUAAAUACUCUCAUUAACACAAACCCUAAAAAACCUUCAGCCGUUUCUCUUCUCUUCUCCUCUCCAGAACCUUCAGCCGUUUCUUCAAACCCUAGCCGCCACCCAACCAGAAUCCCUCCUCCCACCAUGACUACAACCUCAUCUCAUCACUUCUCCACAAAAACCCUAGCCGCCCUCUCUCUCUCUCUCUCUCUCUCUCUCUCAUAUAUCUGACGUCCCCAUCAUCAUCUUCUUCUUCCUCCCUUUCUCCUUCUCAUCUUCCCGUUCUCCCCCUCAUCCUUUCUUCCCCUUCUUUUUUCCUCUUCUUAUACUGUUCUUCAAACCCGAUUCUUCUUCUUCCUCAUUUUCGCCCCCAACCGAUCCAAAACCCUAACUUUCGCCCCCUACCGAUCGAAAACCCUCAUUUUUCUCCAAAACCGAGUUAAGAAGCACCUGGAUCGGAGAUUUUUAAAACGAUUUGAUGCAUGCAAGGCUCGUUGCUAUCCAAGCAACGAUUUUUUCACCAAAAUCCGAGGGAAGAAGCACCUGGAUCGGACAUUUAAGGCUCUGAGAUCAUCUCCCUGUCAACCAAACUGGACUUGCAAGCCAGCCUUUGAAGAUGGAUUUUUUUUUUCAUGUAAAUAUCAAUAUUCAGUGUAAAAGAACGAUUUUUUACUGUAAAGUUUGAUUUUUUAUGUAAAGUUUGGAUUUUUAUUAAUAUUGCUAUAAGAUGUAUGCUAAAUGCUAACCUCUUUAAUGCUCA